rnacentral:rRNA from 1 species
UACGAAGGGAGCUAGCGUUGUUCGGAAUUACUGGGCGUAAAGCGCGCGUAGGUGGCUUUGCAAGUCAGAGGUGAAAUCCCGGGGCUUAACCUCGGAAUUGCCUUUGAAACUGCAAGGCUUGAGUACUGGAGGGGAUGGUGGAAUUUCUAAUGUAGCGGUGAAAUGCGUAGAUAUUAGAAGGAACACCGGUGGCGAAGGCGACCAUCUGGACAGUAACUGACACUGAGGCGCGAAAGCGUGGGGAUCAAACAGG